UACGUAGGGUCCGAGCGUUGUCCGGAAUUACUGGGCGUAAAGAGCUCGUAGGUGGUUUGUCGCGUUGUCCGUGAAAACUCACAGCUUAACUGUGGGCGUGCGGGCGAUACGGGCAGACUGGAGUACUGCAGGGGAGACUGGAAUUCCUGGUGUAGCGGUGGAAUGCGCAGAUAUCAGGAGGAACACCGGUGGCGAAGGCGGGUCUCUGGGCAGUAACUGACGCUGAGGCGCGACAGCGUGGGGAGCAAACAGG
rnacentral:rRNA from 1 species